GGAAGGGCUGUGGCUGAGUGGCAGAACCUCUGCUUUUUAGAUGCAGAAGGUCUCAGGUUCAAUCCCCGGUGCCUCCA